GGGGCUCUUGUUUAAACCUCCCUACAGAAUGUAGUGUCAUCAUUACAGACUUUUGGAUACACGAUGGGAGGGGGAGUGAGUGGUAUCUAUCAGUUCUAAACCAAUAAUCCUCCAUUUAGCUAUACGUGGCAUAUAGCUGUUUAACUGGCACAAAGGUAGUGGGGGAGGAGUUAGUAAAGGGAGCUGUUAACACAGGAAUUUUGUUUACACAAGGUUUGCUUGAUUUGAAGGGGGAUGCUUAUCAGGAUGAAGAAUUUACAUAGUAAACAGCAACUGAACACAUUGUAGGGGGCGAAGGGAAUAUUUACUCUAGCAGCCAGUUUUAACAUAGUGAACACAGAAUAAAUAGACAUUAGUAAAUAGCCAUUUUAUUUUAAUUCAUCUGUCCAUAACAGUCCCCCCUUAAAAUGGCAAUUUUUACUAAAACUACUAUCUCUCAUUCUAAUACUGUCCCUAUAGAAAAAUAACAAAAGGCUAUCUUGCACAUCUGUCUGAACAGGCCUCGAACACUUCACUGCGCGGGUAUUCCAUAGCAGCUUGUCCACUACUUCUCCCGCGGCAGACUUCUGCCCGUAGAGACAGACGCUAUCCCUAAAUGUCCUUAAGAGGAAGUAGCUGUUGAUUUAGUGCGGUGGGACUGUAAGGGUGUAUGUCGAUAUCGUCAAUCUCUUGGUGAAGGAAGGUCGGGGUGGUCUGGUCGAUUGUCUGAUCAACUGUCUUUUGUAGGCAUUUCUUAAGACAGGGUAACACACAACAAACAAGAAGAGCGAGGAUGAUUAUCGUUAUUAAAAUGGCAACACCUAUUUGGGCCAGAGCACCUUGCCAUCCAGACAUCCAUCCAAACCAUCUUUCCCAUGGAUCUGUGGCCCCCGAAUUUCG